rfam:Aspergillus wentii DTO 134E9 unplaced genomic scaffold ASPWEscaffold_8, whole genome shotgun sequence.
GGCGCCAUAGUCUAGUGGUUAGGACAUCAGGUUUUGAGAUUCAAGGUUCCUGAGAACCCCGGUUCGAUCCCGGGUGGCGCCU